rnacentral:lncRNA from 1 species
UGACCACAUAACAGCUAUGUAAUUCAUGAAAAAUGUACUCAUAGAAAGAAGAAAUCUUUGGAAUGAAAAACCAAAUAAGGGGAUAAGUAUGAUACUGAUAAAACUAAACGAGCUACUAUGCAUAAAGAGGUCCCAAAUUGGUCCAACACAAGACUGUGAGACUGGUAAAACACUUGUGUUUUAAACAAAUUUACAUCAAGCAGUAGGGUGCACAUCAUUCCCUUAAGAAAAACUUAGAAUAGAUAUCUCUCUUUUUUCCUUCAGUUUGUGCUGUUUUUUAUUCUGUAUAAAAGAAAUAUAAACUAAAUUUUAUUAAAUAUGAAGAAAUUUAAAAAGAUUGUAAACUUUCUUUCCUUUGUGUUGAAUAAGGUUGAUACUUGAUAGACAUACAUAGAGGACAAAACCUAGCUGCUCUACUACCAAAGAUUGUCAGAUGUUAAAUCAUUGCAUGUUGGAACUAAUCAAAGAUUGUCAGAUUUUAAAAACAAAACAUGGGUUUCAAGAAAUGAAAAUUCAUAAUUUCGAAUGACAAAUAAGAAACAAAAACAUAUGAUUUAUGAAGAUACAACAUUAAACAAAUGAAAAGAACAGAGAUGUAGAGAUGUAGAAACAAAAUCGAACUUGGAGUGGAAUCUAGAGAAUGCAGAGAUGUAGAGACGACUAGAGCAGAGAUGACAAGAUCAAGAAUGAUUCCGUCCAGACGUCCACCGCA